rnacentral:rRNA from 1 species
AUUGAACGCUGGCGGCAGGCCUAACACAUGCAAGUCGAACGAGUGGCGGACGGGUGAGUAAUACAUCGGAACGUGCCCAGUCGUGGGGGAUAACUACUCGAAAGAGUAGCUAAUACCGCAUACGCUUGGAGCGGCCGCUGGCAGAUUAGGUAGUUGGUGGGGUAAAAGUUUACCAAGGCUACGAUCUGUAGCUGGUCUGAGAGGACGACCAGCCACACUGGGACUGAGACACGGCCCAGACUCCUACGGGAGGCAGCAGUGGGGAAUUUUGGACAAUGGGCGAAAGCCUGAUCCAGCAAUGCCGCGUGAAUGAUGAAGGCCUUCGGGUUGUAAACUGCUUUUGUAAGGAACGCGGUACCGGAAGAAUAAGCACCGGCUAACUACGUGCCAGCAGCCGCGGUAAUAC